rnacentral:tRNA from 1 species
GGGAGCGUACGGGUCUGGUGGCUCGCACGGUCUUCAAAAUCGCUGAGGUCGUCGCAAGGCGACUGGUAGGUUCGAUUCCUACACGCUCCCGCCA